CCCUCACGCUGGUCCCCUGGGGCUACUACAGGUCAAGGAAAUCAGGGACCAGCUGGGGGCUGGACCAGCAGGGACCUGACACCUCCCCCUCCCCCCGCUCAUUCCUAUAUCCCAGAACAGAGGGUCUGGUUUGGGAACUGAAUAAGCCAGUGAUCCAUCAUCAUUAAGGACGGUCCCCACCACAGAGAAUGAUCCAGCUUCACAAGCCCAGUGCUGAGGGUGCGAGAUCCUGGUGUAAAGAAUGGAACGCAAUGCCUGGCUCAAGGUGAAAGACUACUCCUGCCUCCUUGGGGCUCCCAGCAUGGAAGUCUUCAACUUCAAAAUCAGCUAGUGCCAGCCUCGUUUAAAUGAAGAAUGCCCACACCAGCAAUUCUGCAUCUCAGCAUCUACUCACAACUGAUUUGUGCACAGGAAUCUCAGUAAGAGAUUCUGUUUGCUCCUGUGCUGUGUUUAAGAGUGAAAAGCAAGGG